rnacentral:rRNA from 1 species
UUAAGUCCGUACGAGCGCAACCCUUGUCCUUAGUUACCAGCACGUUAUGGUGGGCACUCUAAGGAGACUGCCGGUGACAAACCGGAGGAAGGUGGGGAGUGACGUCAAGUCAUCAUGGCCCUUACGGCCUGGGCUACACACGUGCUACAAUGGUCGGUACAAAGGGUUGCCAAGCCGCGAGGUGGAGCUAAUCCCAUAAAACCGAUCGUAGUCCGGAUCGCAGUCUGCAACUCGACUGCGUGAAGUCGGAAUCGCUAGUAAUCGUGAAUCAGAAUGUCACGGUGAAUACGUUCCCGGGCCUU